UACGGAGGGUGCAAGCGUUAUCCGGAAUCACUGGGUUUAAAGGGUGCGUAGGCUGCUGCAUAAGUCAGGGGUGAAAGUUUGUCGCUUAACGAUAGAAUUGCCUUUGAUACUGUGCGGCUUGAAAUUAGGUGAUGUUGGCGGAAUGUGACAUGUAGCGGUGAAAUGCGUAGAUAUGUCAUAGAACACCGAUUGCGAAGGCAGCUGGCUAACCUAAAUUUGACGCUGAGGCUCGAAAGCGUGGGUAGCAAACAGU
rnacentral:rRNA from 1 species